rnacentral:rRNA from 1 species
CGGGGCCUUAUCAGCUUUGUUGGUGGGGUAACGGCCCACCAAGGCGACGACGGGUCGCUGGUCUGAGAGGACGGCCAGCCACACUGGGACUGAGACACGGCCCAGACUCCUACGGGAGGCAGCAGUGGGGAAUCUUGCGCUAAUGCGCGAAAGCGUGACGCAGCGACGCCGCGUGGGGGAUGAAGGCCCUCGGGUUGUAAACCCCUUUCGCCAGGGACGAAGCGAAAGUGACGGUACCUGGAGAAGAAGUCCCGGCUAACUACGUGCCAGCAGCCGCGGUAACACGUAGGGGACGAGCGUUGUCCGGAUUUAUUGGGCGUAAAGCGCGCGUAGGCGGUCCGGAAAGUCGGAUAUGAAAACCCGGGGCUCAACCCCGGGCCUGCACCCAAUACUUCCGGGCUGGAGGCAGGUAGGGGAGAUCGGAAUUCCUGGUGUAGCGGUGAAAUGCGCAGAUAUCAGGAGGAACACCGGUGGCGAAGGCGGAUCUCUGGGCCUCGCCUGACGCUGAGGCGCGAAAGCUAGGGGAGCGAACAGGAUUAGAUACCCUGGUAGUCCUAGCCGUAAACGUUGGGUGCUAGGUGUGGGCGGAUAUCGACCCCGUCCGUGCCGAAGCUAACGCAUUAAGCACCCCGCCUGGGGAGUACGG